UUCAUUUAAUCAAUUAUCUAGAUGAGCAAAGCAUGUCGACUUACACCACAAGUAACGUAUACUCCAAGGGGCCAUGAAUUCAUUUCGGCGUCUAAUGAAUUAUAUUUGCUGGAUUGAGAUUAUGCUUGCUGGUUGUGUAUUGUCUUGCUCGGCUGAUUGGUGUUGUAGUCUUAAUUUGCUCAGCUGGCUGUUUAUUUGCUGGAUUGAGAUUAUGCUUGCUGGUUGUGUAAAUCCCACUCUCUUCCGUACAGAGUAUUUAAGAGUCCGCGACAUAUUGGAAUUAAGCUCCAUAUUGGCUACACUGAUUACUCUUAAGCCCUAUCCUAUGAUAUUGGUACAGUGAACAAUAAUUGUAUAAAAAGCAUAGUGCAUCACAUUAUUGGUAUGAAUUUUUACUCGGUUUAUUCUAUCAGUAGACAAUAAAGGUUCAUUUGUUUAAAUGAAAUUCGUUCCCUCAUAAUUGUUAUCAGAUUUUUCGAGGUUUGGAUGACGGAAAACCAAUGGAUCUAUGGAAUAACAAACUUAGAUUGUGGGAAAACAACUUCCCAUUCUGGCAAGAAGGAGGUAUGCACCCUUCUAGGAAUAUUGGCGGCGAUGAAGAACAUUGCUUUAUGGGUCAUCUUCAUUAGAUAGCACUUGAGGUGUAUUUUGGGACACCUAGUACCGUCAUACUUCUUGUUGAACUAUGGCACCUUGAAGGUUUAGGGAAUUUUUUCACUCUUGAAUAGGGAGACAAGUUGUUGAGCCCUUACAUCUCAUGCCCUUACAACAAACACAACCGCUCUUCCAUUUUGGCAAGGCGUGUAGCACUCUUUUCUUCUAAAAGGAAGACAAGUUCUUCCUUCAGAGAAGGAUCAAGGUCCACUAUGAGAGGUGUGACCGAAGGGACUUCUCCAGCUACUUCCUUUCCAAUAAGGUCAAUAGUUGACGACUCAAGAAUGCAGACAGAACGGGCAUAAAUGUAGGGGGUUUUGGAUCCCCAGCAGUAGGUAGGACAGCGAAAGUCUUGAUUUGCUCGGAAAUUUCCGCCAGCAUUGUUGUAAUUUGAGCCAGCUGGUUCUCCACAUUCGUCAAUUGAAUGUUUGAAUCUUAGUUCUUCAUAUGUGCUCUUAAGCGAGUUCGAAUUGGAGAUCUUCUUUGGUCAUAAUUACUACCAAAGUACUUUUCUAA